UACGUAGGGCGCAAGCGUUGUCCGGAAUUAUUGGGCGUAAAGAGCUCGUAGGCGGCUUGUCACGUCGAUUUGUGAAAAGCUCGGGGGCUUAACCCCCGAGUCUGCAGUCGAUACGGGCUAGCUAGAGUGUGGUAGGGGGAGAUCGGAAUUCCUGGUGUAGCGGUGAAAUGCGCAGAUAUCAGGAGGAACACCGGUGGCGAAGGCGGAUCUCUGGGCCAUUACUGACGCUGAGGAGCGAAAGCGUGGGGAGCGAACAGG
rnacentral:rRNA from 1 species